rnacentral:rRNA from 1 species
UUGGAAGGGCAAGUUCUGGUGCCAGCAGCCGCGGUAAUUCCAGCUCCAAUAGCGUAUAUUAAAGUUGUUGCAGUUAAAAAGCUCGUAGUUGAAUUUCGGGAUCAAUGUUUCGGUCAUGCCGUUGGUAUGUACUGAUAUUAUUGAUUUCUCACCUUCUAAAGAACCGUAAUGCCAUUAAUUUGGUGUCACGGGGAAUUAGGACAGUUACCUUGAAAAAAUUAGAGUGUUUAAAGCAGGCUCACGCUUGAAUACAUUAGCAUGGAAUAAUGAAAUAGGACAUCCGAUUCUAUUUUGUUGGUUUCUAGGAUCGAUGUAAUGAUUAAUAGGGAUAGUUGGGGGCAUUAGUAUUCAAUUGUCAGAGGUGAGAUUCUUGGAUUUAUUGAAGACUAACUACUGCGAAAGCAUUUGCCAAGGAUGUUUUCAUUAAUCAAGAACGAAAGUUAGGGGAUCGAAGACGACCAGAUACCGUCGUAGUCUUAACCAUAAACUAUGCCGACUAGGGAUCGGAUGAUGUUAAUUUUUUAAUGACUCAUUCGGCGCCUUACGGGAAACCAAAGUGUUUGGGUUC